GGAGAAGGGGACGACAGAGGAUGAAAUGGUUGGACAGUGUUCUUGAAGCUACCAACAUGAAUUUGACCAAACUGUGGGAGACAGUGGAAGACAGGAGUGCCUGGCAUGCUCUGGUCCCUGGGGUCAUAAAGAGUUGGACACGACUAAACGACUAAACAACAACAACAACAAAUGACACAAUCUUCAGACAAUAUUGCACCGAACCAUAUGCAAAAUGCAGUGCUCACCAUCAAUGCUUCCACUGAUCGCACGGCAACUGAUAGUUUCAGGAAUACAAUAUAUUUCCCUUUUUGGUGGCAGUGGGGGUAGGGGUGUUCUCUUACACGAUGGAGAUUUCUGAAAAAUAUAUAUGACCAGUUGUAUUCAGUUCCGUAAGGCAGAGUCUAAUCAACAAUUGUUUGAAAAACACUUCAGUUUGGCCCAUGUUCAAAGGAUGUAAAAUGACAGAAAAUAGGAGAGUAGAUUCAGAGAGAAGAUUUGCAAAAUAUGUCUUUACAGUAAGAAAUGGAAUUGUGGCUAUAAACAGAUCGAUAUCAAGCAGUGCAAUGAGAGUUCCAGAGAUGUGGUUUAACAUCUGAUGUAACAACUACAGGGUACCAAAUGGAAUUCUCAGAAGAAUCCAACAUCACGCGUUCCAUGUCUACUAUUCUUGCUCCUCGGAAUGAGCUCAGUGGCGAAGUUAAUAGCAAUAUCAUUUCACAAAUGAAAGGGCCAUGUGAAACCAAUUACAGUGUAGGCCAGAUAAUGACAGGUGCCGGUGGGUGGGGACCACAUGAAAAACCCAACAGAAUUUGCCAGUACUUUAGGAGAUACUGAGUUACCUCUGCAUAAAAUCACAUCAAAAAGAGCAAUUGUGAGUGGUGAUAGCAUUAAGGAAUAUUCACCCCCCAAAUGCAGCUUGAUUAUAAGUUUUGAACACAUUCAAGAACAGCCUGGAUCUCAAGGUUAUUGCAGGAGAAGCAACUGGAAAUCUUGUAGGACUUGCCAAAACAGAAUCCUCUUCAGAGUUUUCUUUUCCUUUCAGUUGCAAUGAAGGCAAUUUCCCACACAACUAGCCUUUGUUAUGACCAUCAACAAACAGUAAAUGAACCCAUAAUAACUGAAAAUUAUACUUACCCAUGGAUAAGUAUAAAGACAUAUUAUUAUGUCUAAAGUUAGAUCUUUUAAACAGAAAUUCAGAGUAAGAUAUCUUGAGGCUACAAUCCUGUUCAGCUCAAUGGGACUUCUAAAUAGACAGAUACAGGAUUGUACUAUGAAUGGUUUUAAAAUGUAGGAGUGAGGUAAAAGGAACAUAUCCUUCAAAUGUGGUCCUCAAACAAGUUUGGAAUUCAAAAUGAUUCAACUAAGCGGAUCCACAAUUACGAACCUCUGUACCCAACCUAAGCCUUGCUUCAUAAGACUUUCUUCCUCGAUCCUGACACUCCACAGGGCUAUAGUUAUGAGCCUCACGCCACUGUCAGGAUCUGGUUUAGAUUGGCAGGCUCUGAUGCAGGAGGAGGAAGAAAAGGGAAGGGGGCUGGGUUGGAGUGAGGAAUCUCCCAUUUCCACCCCAACUUGGACUGCUUCAGAAGGGAGAGCAGAGAUGCCAUUUCCCCCAGCACAACUUUCCUUUAGAUCAUGGAGUCUUAGUGGGGUCUAAAAAGGGCUUGGAGCAGCUCAGUGGUGGUGGUGGCAGAACCAGAGAUAGCAGUGAUAGAACUGGAGUCUGAAAAAGAGGGCAGAGCCUAGAACCAGAUGUUGCCUUUGCAGAUGGGAGCAACCUACCCUCUCUGAAUGGAACGCACACUUGCAAUCUUAAUAUUCUCACAAGGCGAUCAAGUCUUGUGAGUGAGUAUGCCAUGUCUUGUCUUUAAAAGCUUGGCAGGUGGGAC